rnacentral:rRNA from 1 species
GAUGAACGCUGGCGGCGUGCCUAAUACAUGCAAGUCGAGCGAACAGACGAGGAGCUUGCUCCUCUGACGUUAGCGGCGGACGGGUGAGUAACACGUGGAUAACCUACCUAUAAGACUGGGAUAACUUCGGGAAACCGGAGCUAAUCCCGGAUAAUAUAUUGAACCGCAUGGUUCAAUAGUGAAAUACGGUUUUGCUGGCACUUAUAGAUGGAUCCGCGCCGCAUUAGCUAGUUGGUAAGGUAACGGCUUACCAAGGCGACGAUGCGUAGCCGACCUGAGAGGGUGAUCGGCCACACUGGAACUGAGACACGGUCCAGACUACUACGGGAGGCAGCAGUAGGGAAUCUUACGCAAUGGGCGAAAGCCUGACGGAGCAACGCCGCGUGAGUGAUGAAGGUCUCCGGAUCGUAAAACUCUGUUAUUAGGGAAGAACAAAUGUGUAAGUAACUAUGCACGUCUUGACGGUACCUAAUCAGAAAGCCACGGCUAACUACGUG